UUCUCACACAUGACCGAUUUAUUUAACGAAAACCUCAAACCCUUCCUUGAUGGACACUAAUGUGAACUGUGCUGCCGUCAAAUCGACUAAUGUAAAGCACCUCACAGUGAGCACAGAGACGGGUCAUUAGGGAGAAUGAAGGACUAGGCAUGCUUCUCAAGGAUGUUUACAGGCUCCAGCCUCCCUCCUCCUGUCCUGACAUUCUACCGUCCUUCCACCAAUCCGCUCUCGUCCAGCCAUGCCGCUCUGGUCUGUCUGGCACGGCAGAUGUCUAUCGGCUUCGCAGAGGUGAGCUGGCUGGUCAACGGGAGUCCGGUCACCGAAGGGACUUGGACCAGCACCGCGGUUCAGCACCCCGACAAGACUUUCCAACUCAGCAGCUAUCUGUCCCUUCCAGGUUGUGACAGCGAGGACAGGAGCUACACAUGUAAAGUGACCGUGGGUUCAAGGUCCUUUGAGAAAACGAUGAGGAUCUCUGAAUGUAGCAACACUUUAGAAUAAGUGUCAGGUUUACGUUGACGUCUUUCUUGCUUGCUGCUUGUGCACUAGAAGAUUUAGUGAGUUUGUGAUCUAAACCCUUUGUGUGCAUUCAUUCAUACCUUUAACCUUUCUGUACGUUGUGUUGAGAAAAGUUCACUCAAUAAAAGUCAUUGCAUUUGAAAAAA